rnacentral:rRNA from 1 species
CUACGGGUCGCUCCAGUGAGGAAUAUUGCACAAUGGGGGGAACCCUGAUGCAGCAACGCCGCGUGGAGGAUGACGCAUUUCGGUGUGUAAACUCCUUUUAUAUGUCAAGAAAAUGACGGUAGCAUAUGAAUAAGCACCGGCUAACUCCGUGCCAGCAGCCGCGGUAAUAGGGAGGGUGCAAGCGUUACUCGGAAUCACUGGGCGUAAAGGACGCGUAGGCGGGUUGGAAAGUCAGGUGUGAAAUCCUACAGCUUAACUGUAGAACUGCACUUGAAACUUCUAAUCUAGAGUAUGGGAGGGGAGAUGGAAUUAGUGGUGUAGGGGUAAAAUCCGUAGAUAUCACUAGGAAUACCUAAAGCGAAGGCGAUCUCCUGGAACAUUACUGACGCUAAGGCGUGAAAGCGUGGGGAGCAAACAGGAUUAGAUACCCUCGUAGUC